GUAAUACAUCGGAGCGUACCCAGUAGCGGGGGAUAGCCCGGCGAAAGCCGGAUUAAUACCGCAUACGCCCUACGGGGGAAAGGGGGGGAUCGCAAGACCUCUCACUAUUGGAGCGGCCGAUGGCUGAUUAGCUAGUUGGUGGGGUAAAGGCCUACCAAGGCAACGAUCAGUAGCUGGUCUGAGAGGACGACCAGCCACACUGGGACUGAGACACGGCCCAGACUCCUACGGGAGGCAGCAGUGGGGAAUUUUGGACAAUGGGCGAAAGCCUGAUCCAGCAAUGCCGCGUGUGCGAAGAAGGCCUUCGGGUUGUAAAGCACUUUUGUCAGGGAAGAAAUCGUUCGGGCUAAUACCUCGGGCAGUUGACGGUACCUGAAGAAUAAGCACCGGCUAACUACGUGCCAGCAGCCGCGGUAAUACGUAGGGUGCAAGCGUUAAUCGGAAUUACUGGGCGUAAAGCGUGCGCAGGUGGUUCGUUAAGACAGUUGUGAAAUCCCCGGGCUUAACCUGGGAACUGCAAUUGUGACUGGCGGACUAGAGUUUGGCAGAGGGGGGUGGAAUUCCUGGUGUAGCAGUGAAAUGCGUAGAUAUCAGGAGGAACACCGAUGGCGAAGGCAGCCCCCUGGGCCAUGACUGACACUCAUGCA
rnacentral:rRNA from 1 species